rnacentral:tRNA from 1 species
CGUCUAUCGGUCAGGACGGCAGAUUCUCAUUCUGCAAAGAGGGGUUCGAAUCCGUCCCCCCUA